AGCGCAGGCGGGAAACUAAGCGGAUCUUAAAAGUGCGGGGCUCAACCCCGUGAUGGGGUCCGAACUGGUUUUCUUGAGUGCAGGAGAGGAAAGCGGAAUUCCCAGUGUAGCGGUGAAAUGCGUAGAUAUUGGGAAGAACACCAGUGGCGAAGGCGGCUUUCUGGACCGUAACUGACGCUGAGGCUCGAAAGCUAGGGUAGCGAACG
rnacentral:rRNA from 1 species